CGGUGACAAACNGGAGGAAGGUGGGGAUGACGUCAAGUCNUCAUGGCCCUUAUGGGUAGGGCUUCACACGUCAUACAAUGGUGCAUACAGAGGGUUGCCAANCCGCGAGGUGGAGCUAAUCCCAGAAAAUNCAUCGUAGUCCGGAUCGUAGUCUGCAACUCGACUACGUGAAGCUGGAAUCGCUAGUAAUCGCGGAUCNNCAUGCCGCGGUGAAUACGUUCCCGGGUCUUGNNCAC
rnacentral:rRNA from 1 species